UAUGGGACAAUGGGCGAAAGCCUGAUCAAGCCAUGCCGCGUGUGUGAAGAAGGACUACGGAUUGUAAAGCACUGUAAGUCGGGAGUCAGGGCAGUAAGUUAAUACCUUUCUGUGUUGACGCUACCUACAGACUAAGCGCCGUCGAACUUCGUACCAGCAGCCGCGGUAAUACGAAGGGUGCAAGCGUUAAUCGGAAUUACUGGGCGUAAAGCGCGCGUAGGUGGUUUGUUAAGUUGGAAGUGAAAGCCCCGGGCUCAACCUGGGAACUGCUUUCAAAACUGGCAAGCUAGAGUGUGGCAGAGGGUGGUGGAAUUUCCUGUGUAGCGGUGAAAUGCGUAGAUAUAGGAAGGAACACCAGUGGCGAAGGCGACUACCUGGACGAUUACUGACGCUCAUGCACGAAAGCUAGGGGAGCAAAC
rnacentral:rRNA from 1 species